rnacentral:rRNA from 1 species
GGCUUUGGCGUCAUGUGUAUUGACACGAAACCGCGUAUGGCUCAUUAUAACAGCUAAAAUUUACUUGAUUUUGACUUUUAUCCUACAUGGAUAACUGUGGUAAUUCUGGAGCUAAUACAUGCAUAAAAGAUAAAACAUUUUUCUGUUUUAUUGCGUAUAUUAGUAUUAAAACCAAGCAUUCUUCGGAAUGUUUUGUGUUGAAACUGAAUAUAUCAUGCUGAUCGUAUGGUCUUGUACCGACGACAUGUCAUUCAAGUGUCUGAUCUAUCAACUUUCUAUAUAAGUAUAUAGUACUUAUAUGGUUUUGACGGAUAACGGGGUAUUAGGGUACGACUCCGGAGAAAAUGCCUGAGAAACGGCGUUUACAUCCAAGGAAGGCAGCAGGCGCGAAAAUUACCCACUCUCAGUACGAGGAGGUAGUGACGAGAAAUGACAAGAUCUAUUCCUUCGGGGAUGGAUCAUUGGAAUGGUUUGAUUUUAAAAUCAUUAAAGAGUAUCAAUGAGAGGGCAAGUCUGGUGCCAGCAGCCGCGGUAAUUCCAGCUCUCAUACUGCAUUGAAUUGUUGUUGCGGUUAAAAAGCUCGUAGUUGGAUCUGUACAUGAUAGGUUAGUUCAUCCUUUGGAUUGUAACUAAUACUAAAUGUUUUUUAUUAGAUUUUUUAUCUCUGUUACGAGUUAAAUGUCUAAUGAGUUUACUUUGAAUAAAUCAGAGUGCUCAAAACAGGCGUAAGCUUGUAUGGUUUUGCAUGGAAUAAUAGAACAUGACUAUGGUUCAUGUUUUAUUGGUUUUACUUACCAUAGUAAUGAUUAAAAGGAACAAACGGGGGCAUCCGUAUCGCAGGGCGAGAGGUGAAAUGCGUGAUCUGCUCAUGCCGCUUCCCG